UUGAAUUAAACUUGGUUGGGUUGUUGCUGGCUCUCUGGAGCAUGUGCACGCUUGAUCAAAUGUUUUUAAACCACCUGUGCACACACUGUAGGCCUGAGAGAUAUUUCGAGGAAACUCGGUUUGAGAACUGCUGAAAAGCUGUUCUUGCAUUUUGGGUCUAUGUUUUAAACACAUACUCUAUAAACAAGUAAUAGAAUGUUAAUUAUUGGCCUUUUGUGCCUUUAAACCUAAUACAACUUUCAACAACGGAUCUCUUGGCUCUCGCAUCGAUGAAGAACGCAGCGAAAUGCGAUAAGUAAUGUGAAUUGCAGAAUUCAGUGAAUCAUCGAAUCUUUGAACGCACCUUGCGCUCCUUGGUAUUCCGAGGAGCAUGCCUGUUUGAGUGUCAUGAAAUUCUCAACCUUUCUGGCUUUUAUAAGUUGGUCAGGCUUGGAUUGUGGGAGUUGCUGGCUUUCUAUUGAAAUCAGCUCUUCUUAAAUGCAUUAGCAAAAAUUCUUGCUGGACCAUCUUUGGUAUGAUAAUUAUCUAUAUCAUUGAGAACACAGCUUCCACUAUCAGCGGAUUCUCAGGCUCUGCUUGGAUCUAUUUCCAAGUGUUCGAUUCAACCGUUCUGAAGCACCAGCUUAGGCACAGACAUUAAUUUGUUUGAUGGUGUUGAAUACUUCAGGUUGACGAAGCGAAGGCAYUUUUCUUAGGGAAAGUGCUCACGAGAGCAAGCAAACCCAUCAUCUGAUGUGUGUGCACUGUCAUAUUCCUGUACCUACCCUAGCUACUAUGUGGCUUUGAUGGGUCUGGUCAAACCAUGACCUGAACAUAUCCUUAGUGGAAAGGAUUCUUUUGCUUUUAAUCAUUGUUCCUAGAAACAACCUUCUGACAAU
rnacentral:misc_RNA from 1 species